rnacentral:lncRNA from 1 species
AAAGAAUGUGAUUGAGCUAAUUAAGAAGAUUUGGUUUGGAUCCCCUAUGAGAAUACAAUUUGACAAUAUUAAUGACAAUUUUAUCACUUGGGUUUCUAAUGUGAUCUUACAUGCUCCCAUAGAACUUAUAAAUAUUAUAGCUACUAUUUUCCUACCAUAUUUGGUGUAUAAGAAAUCAAAAGAUCUUUGAAGAUAAACAAAUCUCAAUUCAACAAUCAAUUAAAAAUGCUAUUUUUUACCUUCAGGAGUAUCAAAGAGGAUUGAAAACCUCAAAGGAUGGUAAUUCCCCCAUUUCGUCGCAAAAUCCAAACAGCCAUAAUGCAACCAUGAUAGCUUCAUCGAUCUUAACCUUGAAACCGUCUCCCAUCAACAUUUACAAAGUCAAUGUCGACGCCGCUAUAAAUUUCGACUUCAUUUGGAGCUUUAAAUGUGUGAUUAGGGAUUCAAAUGGAGAAAUCAUCGCUAUUGCAUGUUGGACAAAGUGAUAUAUCACAAAUUCUCGUCACAGAAGGAACGACAACACAUCCUCAGGUUGUGGCAUAUCAAUAAUUUUGGAGAGUGAUAACACAUCAGUAGUGAACGGUCUCGUGAAGAAGUCCACAUGCCUUCUCGAUAUGUGCAAUGUGUUAACAAUACAAUCAAUCGAAGCGAAGAGAGAAAUCCAAAGGAACAAAAGACUAGGGUUUGAUAAAAUUACAAUGGAAUUAGCAUUACUCAAAGAACAAUAGUUACAAGAGAAUAUAUAGAAAACCCUAAUGGACUAGACUAUAAUAACUUAGAAAUAUAAAAGCCCGAUAUCUUAAGCCCAAUAUAUUACUAUCUAACAAAAAAAAACAUAUUCAAUAAUAUAAACUCAAAAUACUACUCUUUAAGCUAAAACUUACUAAGCUUUAAUUAAGCUUGUUACAAAAUUAACCUCUAGCAAAUAAACUAAACCAACUAAUAGCACUGUCCACGAAGAAGAGCAACCUAAGAUGACGCAACAGCUGAAGUGAGGAACUAUCAAAACAAAGAACUAAAGCAAACCAAUCAAAUUAAAUCCAAACUAUGCAACCGAAACCAGAUAAAUUGAACCGAACAAAACCAAACGAAACCAAACAGUCAAAUCGUGAACAUUAUUUUUACUCACCAAACAACCAAAAGAAGCACCUAAACACGGUGCUUCACAAACAGAUUGCAAGCAUUCGCUAUCCAAACAUACAAAUUAUUAGUACUAUCAUGACUCACAAAGUAUCCAAAAGAAACAUAAUAACAUGGUGCUUCACUUGUGUCAAAAAAAAAUGGUGCUUCACAAACAAAUUGUGAGCACUAUCACACCAAACAAACCAAUUCAAAUAAAUCCAAAUGGAAUCAAACAAAGACAAAUCGAAACAAACAUAACCAAAGUGGAGCAAACCGAACCAAAUCAAAUAAAACCAAACGAGACGGAUCCAAUCCAACAAAGAGAGAAGAACUGAUCCCCAAAAGCUGAACUUGUUCCUCUUUCUCCCAAAAUCUCAAGUUCUAAUUUAAUAAAGUAAACAAGUUCCUCUUUUAAAAUUUUGUCCCCGUAACGGAGAUUGAAGGUGACUCAUCAGCUGAAACUUUCAAUGGG